CCUACGGGGAGCUGCAGUGGGGAAUAUUGCACAAUGGGGGAAACCCUGAUGCAUCGACGCCGCGUGAGUGAAGAAGUAUUUCGGUAUGUAAAGCUCUAUCAGCAGGGACGAAGCAAGACGGUACCUGACUAAGAAGCCCCGGCUAACUACGGGCCAGUAGCCGCGGUAAUAAGUAGGGGGGAAGCGUUAUCCGGAGUUACUGGGGGUAAAGGGAGCGUAGACGGUAUGGCAAGUCUGAUUUGAAAGCCCAGGGCUUAACCCUGGGACUGCUUUGGAAACUGUUAGACUAGAGUGCUGGAGAGGUAAGUGGAAUUCCUAGUGUAGCGGUGAAAUGCGUAGAUAUUAGGAGGAACACCAGUGGCGAAGGCAGCUUACUGGACAGUAACUGACGUUGAGGCUCGAAAGCGUGGGGAGCAAACAGGAUUAGAUACCCGUGUAGUC
rnacentral:rRNA from 1 species